rnacentral:misc_RNA from 1 species
GUGAAUCAUCGAAUUUUUGAACGCAAAUUGCACUCCCUGGUAUUCCGGAGAGUAUGCCUGUUUGAGGAUCAGUAAAAUAAAAAAUCGUGUUUUUUCUCUUUUUAUUAAGGGUUAGGACUUGGGAAUUCAGCCGUCCUAUCAUUUUUAGUUCGUUGCAGAGUUGCUUAAAAUUCAUGCAUCCCGUGCGAUUAAAGCGUGUUUAAUGUAUAUUUAU